rnacentral:rRNA from 1 species
GCAAGUCGAACGCUCUCGAUCUUCGGAUCAAUGAGGGAGUGGUGAACGUGUGAGUAACACGUACGAAAUCUGCCCCAAAGUUGAGGAUAACCAUUGGAAACGAUGGCUAAUACUGAAUAGGACAUUAUACCGCAUGGUUAAAUGUUUAAAGGUGCGUUUGCACCGCUAUGGGAUGAUCUUGCGCUGCAUUAGCUAGUUGGUAAGGUAACGGCUUACCAAGGCGACGAUGCAUAGCUGGUCUGAGAGGAUGAAC